AAAAAAAUAAGCUAAUAAAGCUAUUAGGUUCAUACCCUAUUUAUGAAAGAAAACCUUUCUUUUUUUA
rnacentral:tRNA from 1 species